rnacentral:rRNA from 1 species
GACGAACGCUGGCGGCGUGCUUAACACAUGCAAGUCGAACGGAAAGGCCUCUUUCGGGGGGUACUCGAGUGGCGAACGGGUGAGUAACACGUGAGUAACCUGCCCUUGACUUUGGGAUAACUUCAGGAAACUGGGGCUAAUACCGGAUAGGAGCUCCUGCUGCAUGGUGGGGGUUGGAAAGUUUCGGCGGUUGGGGAUGGACUCGCGGCUUAUCAGCUUGUUGGUGGGGUAGUGGCUUACCAAGGCUUUGACGGGUAGCCGGCCUGGGGGGGUGACCGGCCAUAGUGGGACGGAGAUGAGGCAGGGGCUCGUAGGGGGGGCAGAAGUGGGGAAGUUUGAACAAGGGGUGGAGGCUGGAUGCAGCACGGCGGUGGGGGGGAUGCCGGCUUUGGGGUGAAAAACCGCUUUCGCCCAUGCCGAGGCUUGGUGUGACGGUAGGGGAAAAAGAAGCCCCGGCUAACUACGUG